rnacentral:rRNA from 1 species
CCUACGGGAGGCAGCAGUAGGGAAUCUUUCACAAUGGGCGAAAGCCUGAUGGAGCAACGCCGCGUGCAGGAUGAAGGCCUUCGGGUUGUAAACUGCUUUUAUAAGCGAGAAAUAUGAUGGUAACUUAUGAAUAAGGAUCGGCUAAAUACGGGCCAGCAGCUGCGGGCAUACGGAAGAUCCGAGAAUUAUCCUGCGUGACUGGGUGUAAAGAGUUGCGUAGGUGGCAUUAUAAGUAGCUAGUGAAAUCUGGUGGCUCAACCAUUCAGACUAUUAGGUAAACUGUUAAGCUCGAGACCGUUAGGGGUAACUGGAAUUUCUAGUGUAGGAGUGAAAUCCGUAGAUAUUAGAAGGAACACCAAUAGCGUAGGCAGGUUGCUGGGACGGUUCUGACACUAAGGCACGAAAGCGUAGGGAGCAAACGGGAUUAGAUACCCUUGUAGUC